rnacentral:misc_RNA from 1 species
AAAAUAAUCCUACCCUUUGUGAAUUUUGUUUGUUUGAAUAAUUUUUUUUUUUUAAAAAAUUAUUGGAGUCUUUCCCUUUAGAGUUUGCUUUCGAGUUUGUAAAAGAAUUCGAAAACAUCUAAAGGGGAUGGUCAAUAAUUUUUUUUGAAAAAAGACAUUUUUUAAAAUUAAACUUUUUGUAUUCAUUUGUCUAAAAAUUAUUUUUAUAAUAUAAAAACAACUUUUGACAAUGGAUCUCUUGGUCUCGCAACGAUGAAGAACGCAGCAAAAUGCGAUAAGUAGUGUGAAUUGCAGAAUACGUGAAUCAUCGAAUCUUUGAACGCAUAUUGCACUUUUUUAGUUUACUAAAAAAGUAUGUCUGUUUGAGUAUCAGUAAAAUAUUCUCAUAAAAAUCAUUGUAUUUUUAUGGUUAUGAGUGUUUUACAACGAUACAAGUUGUUUCACUUUAAAUUUUUUUUUAAUAUUGAAAUUUUUCUAAUUUUAAUAAUUAAAAUUGGAUAAAAUUUUCCCGUCAAAUGGAAUAACCUAAACAAUUUUAAACGAUUAAUUUUAGCAAAAUUUUCGUAAAAAGGGAAAAUUUUUAUUAAAAUAACUUGAUCUCAAAUCAGAUAAGAGUACCCGCUGAACUUAAGCAUAUCAAUAAGCGGAGGAAAAGAAGCUAACAAGGAUUCCCUUAGUAACGGCGAGUGAAGCGGGAAGAGCUCAAAUUUGAAAUCUUCAAGGUUUUACCUUGACGAAUUGUAGUUUAAAGAAGUGUUUUCUGCUGAAGUUUUGGUAAAAGUUCUUUGGAAUAGGACAUCAUAAGGGUGAGAAUCCCGUAUUUGACCAUUAUUUUCAGCUUUGUGAUACACUUUCAAAGAGUCGGAUUGUUUGGGAAUGCAGUCCAAAUGGGUGGUAAAUUUCAUCUAAAGCUAAAUAUUGGCGAGAGACCGAUAGCGAACAAGUACCGUGAGGGAAAGAUGAAAAGAACUUUGAAAAGAGAGUUAAACAGUACGUGAAAUUGUCAAAAGGGAAGCGUUUGACACCAGUGUUGUUUUCUCGAAAAUCAAUUAAAAAUGGCUCGAUUUUGUAUUGCUUGAGACCUUAAAAGCUCACUGUACAUUUUUCGUGUCUUUUUUAAUGCACUUUUCGUUUAACAAGUCAACAUCAGUUUCUUUUGUUGUAAAAGGGUCAUUGGAAGGUGGCUUUCUUUUCGGAGAAAGUGUUUAUAGCCUUUGGCCUCUGCAAUCGGAGAGACUGAGGUCUGCAGCGUAGACUCUUCGGGUUAGAUACAUUUGUGCUAAGUUAUAGCUUUAUAUAGACAACUUGUUGACUAUAAUUAGUCUUGUAGCUUACUCGCUUAUGCUAUUU